AUUGAACGCUGGCGGCAGGCCUAACACAUGCAAGUCGAGCGGAGAGGCGGACGGGUGAGUAAUGUCUGGGAAACUGCCCGUUGGAGGGGGAUAACGUCCGGAAACGGGCGCUAAUACCCCAUACUCUCAGAUGAGCCCAGGUGGGAGUAGCUAGUGGGUGGGGUAAAGGCCUACCAAGGCGACGAUCCGUAGCUGGUCUGAGAGGAUGAUCAGGCACACUGGAACUGAGACACGGUCCAGACUCCUACGGGAGGCAGCAGUGGGGAAUAUUGGACAAUGGGCGAAAGCCUGAUGCAGCCAUGCCGCGUGUGUGAAGAAGGUCUUCGGAUUGUAAAGCACUUUAAGUUGGGAGGCGUUACCAACAGAAUAAGCACCGGCUAACUUCGUGCCAGCCGCCGCGGUAAUAC
rnacentral:rRNA from 1 species